GGGCACAUACCCAGCCUCCGCCCAGUUGCCAGUCCCACCUGGACCAGCUCUAGGUGGGGAGAAAGAGCCUGCAGGGGAAUCCUGGCAUGCACAUUGGAUCCCUGGUCAUAGAAUGCAACUGCUGAAGAGGCCCACAAGCAAGAGGUCCAGCGGCAGAUUACAACAUCCCUGGCUACCAGCUAGUCAGCAGGAAGCAAUGAAAAAUCUGCCCCAGCCACACCCAUGCCCACAGUAAUAAAAAGCCCUUCCUAGGAGGUAUUUGCAAAUGGAGGCUGCUGCUAGAGGCACUUUCUCUGAGAAGAAACAGUGAUCCAGUGAAGCCUGCAUGUGAGGGAUCCCGGUCACAACUGCCGAUCUAUGAAUGUGACCUCUCUCAGUGGACAAGAAUUACAAGAGAAAAAGAAUAGUCUACUUCAGCAAAGCUGUGGUGAAAUAGACAUUCUCAGAAACCUGUCGUUGGUGGGAGUGUAAAUCACUGCUUUUUCUGAAGAUUAUUGAACAAUUAUU